UAUCACAAGGUCGAUUCCCUGUCAAUGUGGU
rnacentral:piRNA from 1 species